rnacentral:ncRNA from 1 species
AAAUGAGCGUUGACGAAGAAGAGUAGCUUGAAUGAAUGCUUCAGAGAGCUGAUGGCGGGUGAGAAUCAGUGCAGACAUUUUAGUGAAUGGCCUUCCGAGCUUCCGCACCGAACUCUUUAGACAGUAGGCUGCGGCGAACGUCUUAUCGUUACAAAAGACAGGCAUUCAAGCGAUCGCUUUGAUGCUUUCAGAGUGGGCUGCAAUAAUUGCAGUCAAUAAAGGUGGUACCACGGCUCCCCGUCCUUUGC